rnacentral:rRNA from 1 species
CCUACGGGUGGCAGCAGUGAGGAAUAUUGGUCAAUGGACGAGAGUCUGAACCAGCCAAGUCGCGUGAAGGAUGACUGCCCUAUGGGUUGUAAACUUCUUUUAUAUGGGAAUAAAACGUUCCACGUGUGGGAUUUUGUAUGUACCAUAUGAAUAAGGAUCGGCUAACUCCGUGCCAGCAGCCGCGGUAAUACGGAGGAUCCGAGCGUUAUCCGGAUUUAUUGGGUUUAAAGGGAGCGUAGGUGGAUUGUUAAGUCAGUUGUGAAAGUGUGCGGCUCAACCGUAAAAUUGCAGUUGAAACUGGCAGUCUUGAGUACAGUAGAGGUGGGCGGAAUGCGUGGUGUAGCGGUGAAAUGCUUAGAUAUCACGAAGAACUCCGAUUGCGAAGGCAGUUCACUGGCCUGCAACUGACACUGAGGCUCGAAAGUGUGGGUAUCAAACAGGAUUAGAUACCCGAGUAGUC